GGGGUCGCUGUGUCCAUUUCUUUUACUGUCUAUGUGUUGAACCUGAAAUAUGUACAAAUUAAAAAAAAUAAAUAAAUAACCGUACCGGUUACACUGGAUCUACCCAAAGUACUUUUGUGCUGGUUAUUGUUUUGGGCUGACUGUAAAAUCGUUCUCAUUUUCAUUUAAGGUAAUAUUUACCUUAGUCCUGAGAUGAACAUCCACCAAGUUUUAUGGACUUUGGAGUGCGGGGCAGAGGACAAGCAGCAGGAAAUCAAUUUUGGAAUCCUCAUCAAGGCAGCACUCAUGUCUACGCAAAGAUUCAUGCUCAAGGCAGCACUCAUGUCUACGCAAAGAUUCAUGCUUGCACGUCAAGGUACAAUAUUAGCAAUAAUGAAAAGCAUUAUUUUGGUUUUCUGUUAUGUUUUGGCCUUAUUACCAAAUAAUCAUUUAAUAACCUUAUGCAUUUACAGCUAUAAUUUGUAUGUUAUGAUUGGAUCAGUUGCACCAGUCAUGUAUGAAAUAAUGAAAAACUACACCAUUGUUUUCACAACAGAUUGCAAGUCACACUGUUUUUGCACAAAAUAACCUAGAACAACAUGCACAAUUAUUAAUUCUGAAGUGCUCAUCACAAGAGAGAAAUUUUUCAAAUACAAUUUUAUUUAAUAGCUAUCUCCGUACCAAAUAGACAGAGACACAAAAACAGUGUACAAAAACAAACAUCAAUAGAAAAGUAUGCUUAUAUUCAAAUGUCCAAAAAUUGAUCAAAGUUGUGACAUAAAUUGCAGAGAAACAAAACAAAAAAGGUAGGAUACCAAACGUACAAAUGUACACCUUGCUAUGUGCAUGUCUUUAUACAAAAGUGUCGAUGCAACUCUGUUUGUAUAUGGUUUUUAUAAGAUAGGUCCUUUAAAUGACAGAUUUUUCCUACCCAUCGCGGUUCACAAUCAGUACUGGGAAGGCACUUUGCAACAUACAAAUAUACAAAAAAAAACACAUUUCCAGUGAUGUAAUAAGCUAUAACA